CCAGCUCUCUUUGCCUAAUGGCUUAGAUCAAGUGUAGUAUCUGUUCUUUUCAGUUUAGCCGCUGAUAACCCUCCACCGGGGGGCAUCUUUAGGUUAUCCUAAAUUUUUAUACUUGGGAGGCCGGUCCGCUGGAGCUUGCUCCAUGACCAGCAUCCACUGUGUUCUUGGUCUUACACUGUCUCCAAGCGACGCGAACUUCUA
rnacentral:snRNA from 1 species